UACGUAGGGGCAAGCGUUGUCCGGAUUCAUUGGGCGUAAAGAGCGUGUAGGCGGCCAGGUAGGUCGGUUGUGAAAACUGGAGGCUCAACCUUCAGAGGUCGACCGAAACCAUCUGGCUAGAGUCCGGGAGAGGAGAGUGGAAUUCCUGGUGUAGCGGUGAAAUGCGCAGAUAUCAGGAAGAACACCGGUGGCGAAGGCGGCUAUCUGGACGAUGACUGACGCUGAGACGCGAAAGCGUGGGGAGCAAACAGG
rnacentral:rRNA from 1 species